GAAAUCUUUCUCAGUGCAUCACUUUGUUCCCUCUACUGCAAACUUAAAGCCAAGUGCAACACAGUGCUGCAGCACUUGGUCUGGAGCAUGUGAUGAAGUAAACCCUGUGAACCCACUUACAGCUUGCUGAGUUUUAUGUUGUCCUCCAGCGUUUUGUUUCCACAUUUUACUUCUUCAUUUUUGGAGUGGAAAACAGCUCUGAAAGCACUUUUCAAGAAAGCAACGUCAAUGAAAAGCCCAACUGUUUCCAAACAGGCAAUGUCCAGGCCCAAGUCACUGCAGAUGUCCAACCAAAGUCCGUCAUUAGAGGCCAGUUGCAUAUUAUCACCUCUCAGGAUGCGGAACUUGCACUGCUGAGCAAUGCCACCCUUUGUCCUUCCCAUGCUUUCCUCUGCAUCUGAUACACAGAGCUGCAUCUGGAACUAUUUGCUGGGGUUUAGAUAUUUUCUCAUUGUGCUGUGCCAUAGCUCAAAUCCGGUAGUAGCUCUUGUGCUUCCUUUCUGAGUGCCACUGAACCUUACCUGUGUUUUGCCCAUGUAUUACCAUGGUUUCUACCUGGAUAAAGGAACAGGGAAUCUGCCAGGAGGUCUAAUGCAAGAAUCCCUCCUGUAGAUGAGUGACUCAGAGUCACUGUCUUUAGCAUCCCUGCAACAAACCCUCCACCAGCAUUUCCUGCUCCUUACCUACCUAUAGGAAAGAUGAGACAACAAAUGCAAAAAGUAGGGGCUCAACUAAGUUACCUAUACAAGGGAAUCUUGUGUUAUUGGAGAUGCCUUAGACACAACUUCAACAUAGUAUGGCAGAUAUGACACAAGAUCUGUCUCCUCCCAGAGCAGUACUGGGCACCCACAUAAGGUAUCCAAAGGUAUUGAAUGACCUGUGUGUAGGCAGCUGAGUUCUCUCAAGGCUGCACAUAGAUCCUGUGCUAGUGCAGGAAACUGCACCUCAAUAUAAUAAGUUACAGCCCUUUGUUAUCAUUUUUACAUGGUUACACUUCAUGCAGCCAAAUCAGAGUUGUCCUUGAGAACAACCAGAAUGUCCUUUAUCCAAAUCCAGAUAUCCUAUUUUGUUUAUGAUACCAAAUUCAAUGGUACAUGGAACAGAGUAAUCUCUAAAAAAAGAUAAAUGCAGGUAAACGAUGGCUGGAAGAAGUCUGGGAUAAUCAAGCACCAGGCCAUAUCCCCUCUGAGGUUCAGCAACUGGAUUUCUACAUUUGUUAUAAGAAACAGAGUGCUAUUCCCUUACAGUCACAACAACAGCAGGACAACCAUAUGAGACUGAUUAUGUUACAAUGAGCCCUGCAAUGAAAGACAUUUCACUUCAUCUGUGGCUCCAGAGCAGACUUUCUGGAUGAAAUGAGAAAGCUGUCAUGGUCUGGAAACCAAGACAAUGAACUGGGACUCAGGAGACUAGAAUGGAUAUCUGGCUCAUAAGAUAUGACCAGAAGGGAGAAUUAAAUCUUAUUAUCCGAUAUGGAAAUCAUGGCUUAAAAAUUUAAACGGUCACCCUUCUCCUGAAUCCAAUAACAGCUGUUCACCUUGGGAACUUUUGUCAUAAAGUCAUUCUGUCCCAAAACAGGAGAGCCUCAUAGAUUGCUCCAGUGGUAAAUCACCAUCACUUCUUAAUUCUCAGCUAAAUUAAUAUAGCUUCAUAUUCCAAAGUUUGGAUUUAUUAGAUCCUUUUCUGCUAGGUAGAAGGAGUCUGUAAGUCCUGCAUGUUUUUUUGUUAGAAUACUUACACAUAAGCUUAGCAGUAUGCAAUUCUGAAUAAUAAAUGCCAAUUUUACACUCUUUCCUCAGUUACAAAUGAAUACAUCUCUCUUCUUUGUCUUUCUCACAGGCACUCUGUGGGGCUGCAACAUAUAGAAUAUCUGAAAUAGCUCUGGCAUAUAUGGCACAGGACCUACAAACCACAGGUCUUCUGGGCUGGCAGCUGCAAUCCAAGCAGGGUACCUUGGGUCCUUUCAGAUGGCACCAGGCACCUCUGCUUAAGUAACAGACCUCCCUCUCUUAACUCACAUUGCAGACAUGGACAUUGUGGCUACUUUUUUUUAUUAUUAUUAUUUUUUAAUAAUUUAUUUCAAAUAUGAGAAUCUGGAGCUAAAUGCAGCCUGAGGUGUCACUGUGAGAAGCUUAGCAUUGACUCUGUGCCCUUACUUGAUCUCUGGCCUUGUUUCUUGUGUACUUCUAGAAGGGAUGCCAAGCAGUGAGCAAAUGUUCUAAAAUAAUAUUCCUACCUGUCAAAAACAGCACUUCUGAGAUGUCAUUUUAAAUAGUAAAGGAUUCUUGAAAUGAAAAAGUCCAUGUAUUCCUGAAUAAAAUCAACAACUAGAACAACUCUGUCACCAGAGACCCAUGAGUGAAGCUUUCUUUCACUUUGGAUUUUAAAGACAGUAAAUUUAUGGUCGUACUUCACUACAACAGAACAUUAGAAGAAUAUUACAUUUGUUCUGGCCCAGUGCUGAAGCAUGAUGUCACUUUAAUAAAAUCAUGGUUUGCUGAUGUCCUGGAAUCUCUAAGAUUGUUUAUAGUUCCCAGAUGAUAUUCCCUGCAAAGGUGUUUUCUGUUUCAUUUUGGUCUGGUUUUGUUUUCAGUUUGGACUUUUCACAUUCUAGAGGCAUGCUUUUUAAAAUGAAAAAGGUAUUAUAUUCUCAAACUCAGAAGAAACCCUUUGUUUAGCAAAUACCCCUUGAUCAGGACCUUGCAUAACAAUGAACAUGUUGAGUGGAUCCAUAGAAAACCGUAUAAGUCUGAGGCUAAAUAUAUCCAUGCUGGAAUAAAUAACACUUGAUGAUUGUUUGGGCUCAUUAGCAGGCAGAAGAGUAACCCAAUGGGAAAUUCAUCUUUUUCAAGCAUUGUUUCCCUCAUCAGGUGCUACGUUCUGGAUAUGUAAAAGUCCUUGGAGUAUACAGUAGAA
ensembl:lncRNA